GACUACUCGGGUAUCUAAUCCCGUUUGCUCCCCUGGCUUUCGUGUCUCAGCGUCAGGAGUGGUCCAGAAAGCCGCCUUCGCCACUGGUGUUCUUCCAGAUAUCUGCGCAUUCCACCGCUACACCUGGAAUUCCACUUUCCUCUCCCACCCUCUAGCCUGGCAGUUUCCAACGGCGUCUCCCUGUUAAGCAGUGGAGAUUUCACGCCGGACUUGCCAAACCGCCUACACACGCUUUACGCCCAGUGAAUCCGAACAACGCUUGCCCCCUACGUAUUACCGCGGCUGCUGGCACGUAGUUAGCCGGGGCUUCCUCCGUGGGUACCGUCACUCCCGUAUUGUCCAUACAGGCAUUCUUCCCCACUGACAGUGGUUUACAAUCGUAAGACCUUCGUCCCACACGCGGCGUCGCUCGGUCAGGGUUUCCCCCAUUGCCGAAGCCUCUCGACUGCAGCCCCCCGUAGG
rnacentral:rRNA from 1 species